rnacentral:snRNA from 1 species
GGGACUUUUCCUAAAGAA